ACCUUCACCCACUGAUUGAUCCUGGGCCUAUUUAAUUUGCUUGACAGGGGGCGGGGGUAGGGGGGAAGGAGCAGAGGCCAUCAACUUCCUGUCAGCUCUCGACAAUGUCAAGCGAGCUUGCUUUAGCCACAGUCUGACUCACUCCUCAGGGUGGCUUUGCCACGGCACCUGCUAGCAACCUGGAACGAGGUAGGUUUGGCAGCAGGUGGUAGCUGCCCAGAUGGCCGCUUUAGCUCUCUACAGUUCAUGAUGGGUCAGAGAUUGGGACCAUUUGGAAAGAUAUCUAUCUUACAGAUCUGACGUGCUUUCAAACCAUGUCUGAUGGGGCACCAGACACGGAGGGUCCGUGGACAGACCCUUGGGGUAUGGCGCCUUAGCUAAGCUUCCGAAGGAGCCAGGACUUUGCUGUAUGGACCCAUUUCUUUCAGAACCGAUCUGCUGACCAAUCACAUCUCUGCCUGGGACCGUGUCCAACAACUUUCCCGUGGCCUUUAUGCUAAUAUGCAAACCUUCUGGUGGAGACUUGGCAGGGAAGCAUGUGCCGGAUGGCCCAUGGUGGACUUUGUGUGCUUGGUGGAACAUAUGUUCCUACCCUCCCAUCCCAGAGGAGGGGCAGGAAGACUGACCCCCACAGGCCUCCCCUGUGCUCCCUUUUGACCCUACACUUUCUCUAGAGCAGUGGAGGGGCAUGGGAGAGGAGCCAAUGGCUAAGGCCCAGGGGAGGACCCUGAGCACCAAGCCCGGCUGUGAGCCUGCAGAGUGGAGGCUUAAAGGCUCCAGUGGCACAAGGUCACUACCAGCACCAGAACCAGCAUCCUGAGUUACGCUGUGAUACCCCUGGGCCUGAGCUCCCAUCUCGGAUGAACAGUCCUGAAGCAAUCACUGAAGUUGGUAUUGUGCUUAUUUGGUCCCAAGAAGUCCCAGGGUACAGCCCCUCAGGAGGUGGGACACCAAGUGACCGUCUCAACAGUGGCUCACCUAGAGCAAUGUCCCCAAGAAAACUAGACAUGAGUCUCAACAGACAGACUAUGCAAGCUGUAAAACAACCUAAAAACCAGAAGGUGGGCCCCAACCAGGUGACCAUCAGUGCAUGAGUGGACAAACAUAUGAUCUAUCCUUGCAAUGCAAUAUCAGGCAGCCAUGAAGGCAUGUGGCAUGCAUCUCACCACCACAAGGAUGAGUCUUGAAGAUGCUUCACCAAGUAAAGGAUGCCAGAAUGCAAGGCCACCCACUGGAUGGGCCUCCUUUCAAGGCAGAGUUGCAAGUCAAUUUGCCAGACAGAACACACGUAGGCGUGGCCAGGGAAGGGGACGGGUAAGGUGGGUGUGACGACCCACAGGAUGAGUGUCCUGGGCUGAGGAGGAGAGGUUCUGUGAUAAUGGCUCAGGCCCACAAGAUAUAUGAAAAACGAUUGUGCCGUGUGUGGAAGACCUCCCUCAACUCUUCUUGCUGCUCAGAACUACUUGGCUGGCCAGCCUGGAGACAGCUGGGCUGAAAUUAGACACUAUUUAUAUCAUAUCUGCUCACUUAUGGUGAGGCAACAGUGAUUGGAGAUGAGGAGGGCCUGGCUGCUACUGAUGCCACGUGGGAGCCCAGGGGUAGGGGCAGAGGAAGAACUCAGAUCCUACAGGCUCAGAGGGGUUGGACUCCAGUGAGGCAGGCUCAGAGGAGGAGCAGUGAGUGAGGAGAGUGGUUGGGAGAGAACGUAGAACUCUCCCUGUACUCCACUCAUGGAUCUAUACACAACUCAGGUCAAUACACGACUCAGUGUCUUUGGAGUGGGGGUGACAGGUUUCAAAGACUGGGGUAGGUGGUGAGCCUGUGGGUGAAGCUGCCACUAUUGGGCUUGGGCCAGGCCAGGUAUGGCUACAUUGUGAAGAACCGAGUUAGAAAGAAACCUACUGCUUCUCUCUGAUGCUACCAGAGCUAGAAAAUUAUUAAAAACGGACAGAAUUGUCUCUUAA